rnacentral:snRNA from 1 species
AUGCUCAUUUCAGCAGCACAUAUAGUAAAAUUGGAACGAUACAGAGAAUACUAGCAUGGCCCCUAUACAAAUUCAUGGAGCAUUCCAUAUUUUU